rnacentral:rRNA from 1 species
CAGUCGAGCGAACAGACGAGGAGCUUGCUCCUUUGACGUUAGCGGCGGACGGGUGAGUAACACGUGGGUAACCUACCUAUAAGACUGGGAUAACUUCGGGAAACCGGAGCUAAUACCGGAUAAUAUUUCGAACCGCAUGGUUCGAUAGUGAAAGAUGGCUCUGCUAUCACUUAUAGAUGGACCUGCGCCGUAUUAGCUAGUUGGUAAGGUAACGGCUUACCAAGGCAACGAUACGUAGCCGACCUGAGAGGGUGAUCGGCCACACUGGAACUGAGACACGGUCCAGACUCCUACGGGAGGCAGCAGUAGGGAAUCUUCCGCAAUGGGCGAAAGCCUGACGGAGCAACGCCGCGUGAGUGAUGAAGGUCUUCGGAUCGUAAAACUCUGUUAUUAGGGAAGAACAAACGUGUAAGUAACUGUGCACGUCUUGACGGUACCUAAUCAGAAAGCCACGGCUAACUACGUGCCAGCAGCCGCGGUAAUACGUAGGUGGCAAGCGUUAUCCGGAAUUAUUGGGCGUAAAGCGCGCGUAGGCGGUUUUUUAAGUCUGAUGUGAAAGCCCACGGCUCAACCGUGGAGGGUCAUUGGAACUGGAAAACUUGAGUGCAGAAGAGGAAAGUGGAAUUCCAUGUGUAGCGGUGAAAUGCGCAGAGAUAUGGAGGAACACCAGUGGCGAAAGCGACUUUCUGGUCUGUAACUGACGCUGAUGUGCGAAAGCGUGGGGAUCAAA